UACGUAGGGUGCAAGCGUUAAUCGGAAUUACUGGGCGUAAAGCGUGCGCAGGCGGUUUUGUAAGUCUGUCGUGAAAUCCCCGGGCUCAACCUGGGAAUUGCGAUGGAGACUGCAAGGCUAGAAUCUGGCAGAGGGGGGUAGAAUUCCACGUGUAGCAGUGAAAUGCGUAGAGAUGUGGAGGAACACCGAUGGCGAAGGCAGCCCCCUGGGUCAAGAUUGACGCUCAUGCACGAAAGGCGUGGGGAGCAAACGAAGGAUAC
rnacentral:rRNA from 1 species